rnacentral:rRNA from 1 species
UACGAAGGGGGCUAGCGUUGCUCGGAAUCACUGGGCGUAAAGGGCGCGUAGGCGGUCCAACAAGUCAGGGGUGAAAUCCUGCAGCUCAACUGCAGAAGUGCCUUUGAUACUGUUGGUCUUGAGGGAGAUAGGGGUGUGCGGAACUCACAGUGGAGCGGUGAAAUGCGUUGAUAUUGUGAGGAACGCCGGAGGCGAAAGCGGCGCACUGGAUCUCUUCUGACGCUGAGGCGCGAAAGCUAGGGGAGCAAACGGG